rnacentral:rRNA from 1 species
UACGUAGGUGACCAGCGUUGUCCGGAUUUACUGGGCGUAAAGAGCGCGCAGGCGGUCGUUCAAGUCGAGUGUGAAAGCCCCCGGCUCAACUGGGGAGGGUCACUCGAUACUGAUCAACUUGAAGGCAGGAGAGGGAAGCGGAAUUCCCGGUGUAGUGGUGAAAUGCGUAGAUAUCGGGAGGAACACCAGUGGCGAAGGCGGCUUCCUGGCCUGUUCUUGACGCUGAGGCGGCGAAAGCUAGGGGAGCCAAACGGGG